CUUCUCUUUCUGCCACCACCUUGUCCUUCUCUCUCUCAAUACAUCUCAGGUGCAACAGUUUGGCCUGGUAUGGUCUUUCAGAAACUACUCGAAGAUCACAAUAAUUAGCAUAUGAUUUCUUUGGUUUCAUUUCCAAACACAAGCUCUAUGCAAAGCAACAACUGAUGAGAACACUGAUAACAGCUGUAUCUCCAUGGAAUCAACGUGAAUAAACUUCUAAUAUGAGGAGAUCAUCAGAUAUUUGCUGUUCACAUGAUAUGUGCCCUACAAAGGCAGCCAUAAAGCAAAGAGACUUCCCGCUACCUGGAAAGCUGAUCAUCUGAAAGCAGAAGAUCCAGACUUCGAAGUAGGAGCAAAGUCAACAGGUCCACUUACUGUGAUGUCAUUGAAGUCCUUCCGGACGAACACCCUUACCCAAGCAAUUGAUUAUUGCCCUGCUUGCAACCACGCUUCGAAACGAAUGGAUGUGUGCUGUGGAGCAUAGCUGAGUUAGAGCAGGGGAAGAUGCUCAUUGAAGAUACUGUGCUGUCAUUGCAGUCCACUGCUUCAGUAAUACACUGGCCAAUUCAGAGCUGGC